AGAGCUCUUAACUUUUCCUCAAAAGUGGUUUAAAGCAUCAAUUGUAAGCCAAUUAUAAUGACUUUUUGUAUCUGUUCUUGAUUUUCUCAUAGAGAUUCAUAAGGUGAGUUUCAGAGAUCCCCAAGAUCACCUGGAACCCUCAAGGGGAAUUUCAGGAAGUUGUACCAAAUAUGAACCCUAAGGUUGAAGUCAGACUCUGCUGAUGUCAUCAACACAUCCAAAGAAACAAAGUACUGGUCACGAGAACGCUUGGUUGCCAGUGGAAGCCAGAAGAGGUAGCCCUACCAGCAGGAUGGGCUGGGUGCUGACGCAGACACCCAGUAGCUGCUGCUUGCUCUUAGGGUGAUGCAGGAGAGGCACAGCCUUUGUGCAGAAAAGCCCCAUCCGGAGCACCUGACACUGCAAGUGAAGCACCCAUGGCAUUCCAGUCUCCACCCAGCUGCUCUGCUGGGUGCCUUUGGAAGGGCACAAACUGCACAUCCUUUUCUGCUGCAGCCCUUCCUUCAAUGGUACUGCUUUCUCUCAAUGAGAAGUAAGGGGAUCUAACUGAUUAAGCCUACUGGGUACCAGAUGCUUUAAUACUUUAUUAAUCUCAUUUAAUCACCUCGACAAUCACGUGAAGUAGGCAUUUUUAUCCCCAUGUUACAGUUGAGGCAACUGAAGUUAAGCAACUUGCCCAGAGUCAGCCGGCCAGGAAGACUUGUGAGCCUUCACAAGAGGGACUGAUCUGGAGGCUUGGAAUGGUUCCCCUCCUGGUUCACGCUGAUGCUGUCCCUGAAAAGUUGUGGAUGAGCAGUGGCCCAAGCAAUGAAAGAAUUAGAAUCACUGCUGAGGACAGGAGAGAUUUCACCAGCUUUGUCUGGGGAGGUCUGCUACAGUGACUAUCAAAAUGAGAAAGGACAAGCCACAUAGUGUCUCCUGAGAAAAAUCACCAUUCUCUUCAGAAAUGCAAUUUUUUUGAGAUUAAAAAAAUCGCGUCUGCCUUCUCAUCUAUAA